CCGUGCUAGGCGGGGAACUAGCGGUGCCCUGCACCCGCAAUCCGCUACAGCGGGGCUGAAUUCCCGGCCGAGGUCGUCGGUCUUCGCCUCCCACUCCAUCGCUCGACGUUGAAGGUCGGGUCCCACGCAACGAAGGUCCGUGAACCCCGUCAGGUCCGGAAGGAAGCAGCGGUAAGCGACCGCCUUCGGGUGCCGUGGGGCGACCUGGCUGGAGCCGGGCGAUGUGGCGCGUGCGGGGUUCGAUGUUCGACGCCGGGUGCACGG
rnacentral:SRP_RNA from 1 species